UGUGGCUCCACACCAGUGAACGGUUAGUGAUCGUCUCUGAUUGGUUAGUUUGGUUCUAUCUGUCUGUAGUCAUGUGCUAUGUGAGCUUACUCUCUCUCUCUCUCUCUCUCUCUCUCUCUCUCUCUCUCUCUCAGAAACCACAGUGUGUGAGAGCAUCAACAGGUGUGUCAAACAUCUUCAAUGAGCCUUCAGAUGAUUUUAAAUCUCAAAUGGACAUACUUUCAAUUGAUUAUUUAAAGAAAUAAACUGAUUAAUUGAUUAUCAAAAUAAUCACUCGCUUCAGCGCUAAGUUUGAUUGGCCAUCUGUGGAGUAUUUGUGCUCUGAUAGGCUGUUUGAAGUUUCUGUCAUACUCAUAAGUGUGUGUGUGUGUGUGUGUGUGUGUGUGUGUGUAUGUGUGUGUGUGUGUGUGUGUGUGUUCCAGCUCUGUUGUGUCGGCGUAUCUCGGCUCGUCUCAUGAUGGCGGUCGGCUCUGUGAAUUCAGCAUCACACAGUACGCUUGUGCACAGGUACGUGAAACACACAGUACACAGACGUGUAAACACACACACACACUCUCUCUCUGUAAACAUGUGUUUAGUGUGUGUGUGUUCAGUUGACAGAUCUGAGCUCACAGGACCUGGCGACGGUGUUGUCAUGCGGACUCGAUGGGAAUGACAACGUGUCCGAGGAGACGUGGAAGCUCUUCACGCAGAAGGUCAACCCUGUGCUGGGUCCAGCGCUUGACCUGCUCGCAGACACGGUACACAAAAGCACACUCGCCCCGCUGUCUGUUAUAUGCAGUACAGGAGACAUCAACAUCAAUAAUUCAACACAUAAAUUAACAACAUAAUAAUUUUUUUUUAAUUAAAACCAAAGUCAAACAAGAAAGUAACAUUGAACUGUGUGUGUCUCUGUCAGAGGCUGAAUAAGUCCCGCCCCGCAGUCUCAUUCUUGAAUGUGAUUGGAGAAGUCACUCUGAGCUCUUUCAGCUCCACCAAUCUGAGAGAUGAUUCGUUCGUCCAGCGCUGGUUUGACUCCAGGCUCCGCCCAUUUUUACCCCACGCCUCUGAGACGUUCCUGUCCUGUCUGUCCACCAGAGACUUCAGCUGUGACACAUACAGGAGUGUGUGAGUUACACACACACUCAGACACAAACACACACACACACAGUCUCACACACACACACACACACACACACACACACACACUCAUGUCAUAUGCUGAUGCAGCUCUGAGGUUUGGUCUCUUUCACAGUGUCAGGAGCUUCAGUCAGAGUUUUGAUGUAAUGUCCACCGAUACACAGGCUAACAUCUACGUUGACUUCAUCAAAGUCUUCCUCUCUCAGAACAGCACUGCAGGGUGUGUGAACGUAUCUCAGAGCAGCUCUGAUUGGCUGAUCAGCAGCUUUGGACGUUUCUCUGUUUUCACCACAGUCACUGACCUGCAGACACUCAACUCCAACUUCAAUGUGCUGGACACUCUGAGUCUGUUGAGCCUGAGGCAGUUAGUGGAGCUGUCCAGCACUCCUGGAUUCCUGUCCAGCGCCGCUGCGGUCGAUAAUCUACUGCUCUACGUGCCGGACGCUCAGAUCACUGCGUUCUUCUCAUCCCUCUCUUUUACACUACAGACGCAGGGCGUGGUUCUCCCGUCCCCCGUGCAGGAGGCGGUUCUGCAGCAGGUGUUUGACAGGGCCAAUCUGACCACAUUACCAGACGCUGAUCUGCAGAUCUGGAUCCUGAACAUACUGCCGUCCUUCAUAGCCAACAUUACAGUCCAACACGUGACGUCCUACUUCAGCAUCGUCCAGCAGCGACCCUGUCCCAUCAGCCAGCAGGCGGUGCAGCUGUUGAACUCGUCCAGCUCCACCUUCCAGCCGGAGACACAAGAUCAGAUCUACCAGCUGAUCCUCGGCUCUCUCACAGGCCCCGCCCCACUGCGCUGCUAUGGUAACCAGAGCUACUAUGCUUUCCUGAGCUCCUCCUUCAUGAGUUUUCAGUUCCCCAAUCUGACCACCUUCCUGUCGCUGAUGCCGCCAGCCCGCGUGCCAGAGCUGAUGGAGUCGGUGUCUCCAGCGGAGGUCAGCAGUCUUCUCAACCGGCCGAAUGCUGUGGACGAUGUGACCCAAAUCUGCCAGCUUUUCAGAAAUUACCCAAAGACACCCCAGUACUUACAGACGGAGCCGCUGUUGCCCGUGGGUUUGGCCCGGCAGGUGUUGUCCUGCGUCUGGCCUCAGGUUCUGAAGCUGGACGUCCAGUCUGAGGUGAAUCAGUGGUUUGAUCAUCGACUGGUUCAGUACCUGCCUCUCCUCACCUCACAGUUCAUCGCUCCAGACGUCAUGCUAAACACCUCCUGUCUCUCCUUCAAGAAGUUUGUUUCAGCGAUGGCUACAUACAACUAUACUGCAGCGGAGUUUUCUCAGAGCGACAUCUACAACACCAUCCUGGUCUACCUCAACACCUCCUCAGAUUCAACUCCUAAAUGCUAUAACACCUCCAACCCGGAUCUCAACUCCACCGCCUGGUUUGCAGACUACAUCUCCGUCUUCUUGAGCUUCGUCACACUGGACGACCUCCUCCAGUUUGGCUCAAUUCAGGUGUGUCAGCCCACGUCUUGA
ensembl:lncRNA